UUCCAGGUGUCUCAGACGGUAAAGAAUCUGCCUGAAGAAUCUGCCUGCAGUGCAGGAAACCCGGGUUUGAUCCCUGGUUUGGGAA
rnacentral:tRNA from 1 species